rnacentral:rRNA from 1 species
AUUGAACGCUGGCGGCAUGCCUUACACAUGCAAGUCGAACGGCAGCACGGGAGCUUGCUCCUGGUGGCGAGUGGCGAACGGGUGAGUAAUGCAUCGGAACGUACCCGGAAGUGGGGGAUAACGUAGCGAAAGGUACGCUAAUACCGCAUAUUCUGUGAGCAGGAAAGAGGGGGAUCGCAAGACCUCUCGCUUUCGGAGGGGCCGAUGUCGGAUUAGCUAGUUGGUGGGGUAAAGGCCUACCAUGGCGACGAUCCGUAGCGGGUCUGAGAGGAUGAUCCGCCACACUGGAACUGAGACACGGUCCAGACUCCUACGGGAGGCAGCAGUGGGGAAUUUUGGACAAUGGGCGAAAGCCUGAUCCAGCCAUGCCGCGUGAGUGAAGAAGGCCUUCGGGUUGUAAAGCUCUUUCGGCUGAAAAGAAAUCGCACAGGCUAAUACCCUGUGUGGAUGACGGUAUCAGCAUAAGAAGCACCGGCUAACUACGUGCCAGCCGCCGCCGUAA